UACGUAGGGUGCGAGCGUUGUCCGGAAUACUGGGCGUAAAGCGCACGCAGGCGGAUUGAUAAGUCAGGGGUGAAAUCCCGGGGCUCAACCUCGGAAUUGCCUUUGAUACUGUCUGUCUUCGAGUUCGGGAGAGGUUGGCGGAAUUCCUAGUGUAGAGGUGAAAUUCGUAGAUAUUAGGAAGAACACCAGUGGCGAAGGCGCCAACUGGCCCGAUACUGACGCUCAUGUGCGAAAGCGUGGGGAGCAAACAGGAUUAGAGUACC
rnacentral:rRNA from 1 species